CUCCCCAGAGACCGUCCUUGGCCGCGGCCGCGGCUUCCUGAGCUCUGGCAAUGGCGGCUGAGGGGCUUGUGUGGGGCAGCCGGAGAGGCGGGCUGAGGGUGCUUGGUAAGAUCUCGGAAGACUGCUGUGUGUUCCCCAACAGUCUGUAAUGUGAUCCGAGGGACAGACAGAAGCCUCCUUCAAACAUCUUUGAGACCUGCUCCUACUGAGUGCACUCUCUCUCCUGGAGGGUAUUCUAACUGAAGUUGUAGAGGUUUCUUCUACUACAUGAAGUGUUGCAUUUUUCUGAUUUGUAAGUAGGUCUAGAAAGUUGUUGUCUACAAAAGUUAUCCGUUCCAUCAUGUACAUUAAGUGGUGGUGAAAACAUGUAAAAGGAGUUCCAUGCUCAAGAGCAAUGUCAACCCAGUCCUGGAUGCACUUCAAAGGUGUCUCUUCAUAGCCUGCAAACAUAGCUGGAUUGGCUAAGAGUCCUCUGGCCACCAUUAUACCUUCAAAUUGGAAAUUAAAGCAAUAAGUUUCAUUAUAGUUGAAAUUCCACAUUAAAACCUCCUGCAGAUUUUGGAUAGCACCUUAGGACACCCAGCCAAAGCUUACAGACACGUAUUAGAAGAAUAACAAAGAUGAGUAUUAUUACUUAAGAAAUUAACAAUCCAAACCUCAGAGAACCUACACCACCUUUCAACACAUUCCACCUAAUGACUUAUCCUUCAAGAAAGUUUGAAACAAAGCACAGGACACAGAAGCCUUUCUUCCCUAUUGAAACUGCAACUUGAUAAUAUUUUGUUUGUAUUUGCUGCACAC